rnacentral:rRNA from 1 species
UACAGAGGGUGCGAGCGUUAAUCGGAAUUACUGGGCGUAAAGCGUGCGUAGACGGUUUCGUAAGUCGGGUGUGAAAUCCCCGGGCUCAACCUGGGAAUUGCAUUCGAAACUGCGAGGCUAGGGUACGGAAGAGGGAAGCGGAAUUUCUGGUGUAGCGGUGAAAUGCGUAGAUAUCAGAAGGAACAUCAGUGGCGAAAGCGGCUUCCUGGUCCAGUACCGACGUUCAGGCACGAAAGCGUGGGGAGCAAACGGG